CUGUUUUUCUCCAGCACAAGUGAAGCCCUGACAUGUUUGGUUUUUUUUAAAGACUUAUUUAUUUAAUAUAUAUGAUCAUCCUGUUGCUGACACACCAGAAGAGGGCAUUGGGUCCAAUUACACAUGGUUGUGAGCCACCAUGUGGUUGCUUAGAAUUGAACUCAGGACCUCUGGAAGAACAGACAGUGCUCUUACCUGCUGAGCCAUCUCUGCAGCCCCCUGCUGUUUGACCCUCAACCCCAUAAAAUCCAGCAUAACUACAUGCCUGUAAUCCCAACACUCAAAAGACGGGGCAAGAGAACCACACUCAGGUCGUCCUGGGCUAAUUGGCAAGUUCCAGACCAACCUGGGAUAAAUGAAAUUAUCUCAAAAAAUAAAUAAAUAAAAGAUAAAAAUAAAAACCAUAAAAUUCAAGCUGGAGAAAUUUUACACUCGGUAUUUAAAAGAAGUGCUCCUCUUUGAAUAGGAUCUGAGCUGCCUGUAACUACAGUUCCACGGGAUCCAAGGUCCUCUUCUGGCAUUGACACCAGAAGACAGGAAGAAUGCGUAAAUGAAGCUGUUUCUGAAAGAUCCCGAGGACUGCAAACAGUCUGAAACUGCAAGAGUGAGGUGCUGCUCUUUCAAGAAACAGAAACGCCCAGGUCAGAUCUGGAUUUUGGUAAGAGGAACUUUAUUCGAAAAAUAACUCUGGUGUGACAAUACUACGCUUCCAUCAGAGACCGGACCUCCCUGCUGCCUUCGAGGCUGUAUUUCUUCCUGGAGUGACUGACUCCUUUGAUUGUCCUGUAACUGGCUUUGCAGCUCCCUCAUUUCUCUUAUUCAUCCCGCAUGCUUUUAAUCUCAUUAACAUAUACCUAAUCUAGCAGAAACCACACACACCAGAAUCUAAAUCAUUCCCAGCCUCAAUCCUGACAUUGUUGAGUCGAAUUCUUGAGACCAAGCAAACUCUAAAACAAAAUAGAAACUAACUAUAGAAGACAGCCAGCCUAGACAAAGUUCCAUGGGCCACAAAUAGCAAUUCAGUACACAAUGUAAACAUGUUUGCAAUACCUAAAAUCCAAAAUACUUAUCAACAUUUGGGUAGAAGAAAACAUAAAAAAUGCUUAAACA